rnacentral:rRNA from 1 species
AACGAACGCUGGCGGCAGGCUUAACACAUGCAAGUCGAACGCCCCGCAAGGGGAGUGGCAGACGGGUGAGUAACGCGUGGGAACAUACCCUUUUCUACGGAAUAGCUCUGGGAAACUGGAAUUAAUACCGUAUACGCCCUACGGGGGAAAGAUUUAUCGGGGAAGGAUUGGCCCGCGUUGGAUUAGCUAGUUGGUGGGGUAAAGGCCUACCAAGGCGACGAUCCAUAGCUGGUCUGAGAGGAUGAUCAGCCACAUUGGGACUGAGACACGGCCCAAACUCCUACGGGAGGCAGCAGUGGGGAAUAUUGGACAAUGGGCGCAAGCCUGAUCCAGCCAUGCCGCGUGAGUGAUGAAGGCCUUAGGGUUGUAAAGCUCUUUCACCGAUGAAGAUAAUGACGGUAGUCGGAGAAGAAGCCCCGGCUAACUUCGUGCCAGCCGCCGCGGUAA